GACGAACGCUGGCGGCGUGCCUAAUACAUGCAAGUUGAGCGCUGAAGGUUGGUACUUGUACCGACUGGAUGAGCAGCGAACGGGUGAGUAACGCGUGGGGAAUCUGCCUUUGAGCGGGGGACAACAUUUGGAAACGAAUGCUAAUACCGCAUAAAAACUUUAAACACAAGUUUUAAGUUUGAAAGAUGCAAUUGCAUCACUCAAAGAUGAUCCCGCGUUGUAUUAGCUAGUUGGUGAGGUAAAGGCUCACCAAGGCGAUGAUACAUAGCCGACCUGAGAGGGUGAUCGGCCACAUUGGGACUGAGACACGGCCCAAACUCCUACGGGAGGCAGCAGUAGGGGAUCUUCGGCAAUGGACGAAAGUCUGACCGAGCAACGCCGCGUGAGUGCAGAAGGUUUUCGGGUCGUAAAACUCUGUUGGUAGAGAAGAACGUUGGUGAGAGUGGAAAGCUCAUCAAGUGACGGUAACUACCCAGAAAGGGACGGCUAACUACGUG
rnacentral:rRNA from 1 species